rfam:Schistosoma curassoni strain Dakar, Senegal genome assembly, scaffold: SCTD_contig0000680
AUCCAGUUGACGAGUUCUAAAUAGGACGAAACGUGCGCCCUGGAU